rnacentral:rRNA from 1 species
ACCCUAACCGUGCGAAGGUAGCAUAAUCACUUGUUCUUUAAAUGGGGACUCGUAUCAACGGCAUCACGAGGGUUCUACUGUCUCCUUUCUCUAAUCAGUGAAACUAAUCUCCCCGUGAAGAAGCGAGGAUAACACUAUAAGACGAGAAGACCCCAUGGAGCUUUAAACCCAAUUAUAUCCCUAACCCCUAUACCCAUUUAACCUCUUAGGCCUAUAUACUUGGUUUUAGGUUGGGGCGACCACGGAGUAAAACCAAACCUCCAUGAUGUACGGAACAACCUCCUUAUCUAAGAGCCACAGCUCUNAGAAUUAGCACACUAUCAUAAAAUGACCCAUUAUUGAUCAACGAACCAAGUUACCCUGGGGAUAACAGCGCAAUCCAUU